rnacentral:lncRNA from 1 species
UAUGCCGAAUCUACAGUCUUCUUGAGGGAACUUUGGGAACAUGAGAAUUUGAAGUUGAUACUAUUAACCAACCUCAUGUCACAUAUAAGAAAAUACUCAGCUGGAAAAAAAAAAAAGAAAUCUGGGUUUGAAGAACACUUAUUUAUUUUUGAUUUUCUCUGGCUUGUGUGCUUCUUUUGACUGCUGCAUCUGAAUAUCAAGGCAAGAAGUGCUCAAGUUCCUCUGGGCUCUGGAAGGCUGGAACCAAUUGGUAUUCUUGGAGUCAGUCCUUUUUGGACUAAAGCUCCUUUUUCUUUUCCUCCCCCCAAUAAAAAUUUCUGUUCCAGGGAGUACUUUCUCAGUCACUCCUUUCCUAAUGUAAUUCUCUUUGAUUUCCACUGAACGGCUCCUGAAAGGAGACACUGAACCAUGCCUCCACAAGCAUUUCAAUUCCUCAACACCAGCUUUCAGGCAGGAGCAGUUCCAGAUGCAUUUUUAUAUCCAGUAAUCAUGCAUUUAACCAAAAUGAUUGAUGCAGCGUUUUUUCCCCUCUCUAUCAUUUCCAGUCCAUUAGUCUUAUUUGUUUUCCAUGGUUUGGGUUCCUGCCAAAUCAGUGAAUAUACAAAUACUUGGAUAAGUCAUGCACAUCUACACACACAUACGUGUAAUAGGUACUGGGUCUGUAUCUGAGUUGAAUAUUCAACAUUUUAUUUCCAGGCUUCAUGUCUCCACUGAAGUUUUAGCCGCUUCUUUCCUUCUUUCUUACCUCCCUCUCUCCAUUCUUUUUU